rnacentral:rRNA from 1 species
CCUACGGGUGGCAGCAGUGGGGAAUAUUGCACAAUGGGGGAAACCCUGAUGCAGCGACGCCGCGUGAGCGAAGAAGGUUUUCAAAUCGUAAAGCUCUGUCCUAUGAGAAGAUAAUGACGGUAUCAUAGGAGGAAGCCCCGGCUAAAUACGUGCCAGCAGCCGCGGUAAUACGUAUGGGGCGAGCGUUGUCCGGAAUUAUUGGGCGUAAAGGGUACGUAGGCGGCCUUUUAAGUCAGGUGUGAAAGCGUGAGGCUUAACCUCAUUAAGCACUUGAAACUGGAAGGCUUGAGUGAAGGAGAGGAAAGUGGAAUUCCUAGUGUAGCGGUGAAAUGCGUAGAUAUUAGGAGGAAUACCGGUGGCGAAGGCGACUUUCUGGACUUUUACUGACGCUCAGGUACGAAAGCGUGGGGAGCAAACAGGAUUAGAUACCCUUGUAGUC